UACGGAGGGGGGCUAGCGUUGCUCGGAAUCACUGGGCGUAAAGCGCACGUAGGCGGCUUAUUAAGUCAGAGGUGAAAUCCUGGAGCUCAACUCCAGAACUGCCUUUGAUACUGAUGAGCUUGAGUUCGGGAGAGGUGAGUGGAACUGCGAGUGUAGAGGUGAAAUUCGUAGAUAUUCGCAAGAACACCAGUGGCGAAGGCGGCUCACUGGCCCGAUACUGACGCUGAGGCACGAAAGCGUGGGGAGCAAACAGG
rnacentral:rRNA from 1 species